CAAGAAGACAGUGAAGACAUGGAAGUCAGGAGAAGUGCUGGAAUGAUAACCAGCCCAGCUGCAGGAGGAUUUCAGCACUAGCCGCUAUGAAAAGGAUAACUCCCUCCUCCCUCCCAUUACAGUACACAAAUGGCAGCCAAGUUUGCAGAAUUACUUUGGCCACCUUGUCUCUUUCUCAUCUCACUUUACAGAUGAAGAAAAGCAUUUGUGUGAAGGACUAAUGUUUGUAAAUGUUAUGACAGGACGAUCUAAAAAGUUUUCUAAGUACUAGCUGAGGGAAGGAAAUGUGAGGAGAGCAAAGAAAGGAGAGCAGGAAAACAAGCAAGGGUAGAAGCAGCAUCACAGAGCUGGGGAAAUGCUUUUCGCCAGCUGUUCCCCGUUAUUUCCUUUGUGCAUGCUUCACAACAACAUGUCCCUUUACCAAUAAAGAAGUUCUGUCUUCCUAAACAACA